GGAUGUGAGGGCAAUCUGGACAUGUCACCCCACUGCUCUCCAGGGUUGUUGACUGAGCUGAUCUGGCUGGCAAAGUGGUGUCCCAAAGCUCUACAUGUGUCCCUCCUGAAGCUGAGGAUGCCAUCCCCUCUAGAGACAGCACCAUUCAUCAGUCAAGGGUAUAAGGCAGCUGCGCUCCCUGCCACAGCCUCCAAACCAGCUCAAGGUCCAUUUGUAGGAGAACAGGGGGUAGCCAAGCUUCCAAGACUGCAGACACAUCCAAGUGAGGCGCUCCGUGGGGAAAUUUUCCUUUGCUU
rnacentral:snRNA from 1 species